rnacentral:lncRNA from 10 species
CAGUCUUGAAAGAUGGGAAGAUCAGGAGCAGUCUGGAGUCAUGGUAUAUGAAUGAACUAGUGAGAGUGGGCACAAAGUCUGAAGAUCUUUGUAGUGCAGCUAAUGUCUAAGGGAGAAUAUACCUACCCUAGAAGAGACAUUAAACAACCAGUUCAACCAAUCUACAAAGGCCAAAAAUAUUUUCACAGGCCCCCAAAAGAUGAACUCCAAUCUGCUGCCCCUAAACGCAUUCUCCACUGUCUGGAAGAUGUGCAAAGGCAACGGCACAGCGUUCUCCAUCUCAAAUCCUUCAAAGUGCUGUCAGAAUAAAAGAAUCCCCACCAAAAGCCCCAGGGAAAUCUAUCUGUCUGUAUGGUAUGGUAAUGACUGAGGUUAUUCCAGAUAGGAUUCUGGGAGAAACUCAGCUAUUGAAAUCUAAUGAAUGGAACUGAGAAUUUCUUGUUAUAAUACUGUUUGUUUGAUUGAAUAUAUCCUUGCAUAUAGGAAGACAUAAAAAUAAAUAAUAAAAGCAA